rnacentral:rRNA from 1 species
UGGUCAAGUUAUUAAGGGUGCAGGGCGGAUGCCUUGGCACUAGGAGCCGAUGAAGGACGUGAUAAGCUGCGAUAAGCUUCGGGGAGUUGCACGUAAACUUUGAUCCGAAGAUUUCCGAAUGAGGAAACUCACUUAGAGUAAUGUCUAAGUAUCAUUAAGUGAAUACAUAGCUUAAUGAGGGGAACUCAGGGAACUGAAACAUCUAAGUACCUGAAGGAAGAGAAAGAAAUUCGAUUCCGUAAGUAGCGGCGAGCGAACGCGGAUUAGCCCAAACCAAUAAAGUUUUCUUUAUUGGGGUUGCGGACAUAUCAUAACGAAGAGGUAUCGUAAUUGAAGAGGUUUGGAAAGACCCACCACAGAAGGUAAUAGUCCUGUAUGUUAAACGAGAAGACUUUAGAUAUGAUCCAGAGUACCACGGGACACGUGAAACCCUGUGGGAAGCAGGAGGGACCACCCUCCAAGGCUAAAUACUACCUAGUGACCGAUAGCGUAUAGUACCGUGAGGGAAAGGUGAAAAGAACCCCGGGAGGGGAGUGAAAUAGAACCUGAAACCCUGCACUUACAAGCUGUGGAAGCACAUUUCUUGUGUGACCGCGUACUUUUUGUAGAACGGGCCAACGAGUUACGUUAAGUAGCAAGGUUAAGCACUUAAGGUGCGGAGCCGUAGCGAAAGCGAGUUUUAACUGAGCGUUCAGUUACUUGACGUAGACCCGAAACCGGGCGACCUACCCAUGAGCAGGAUGAAGCGAAAGUAAAAUUUCGUGGAGGUCCGAACCCACGAGCGUUGAAAAGCUCGGGGAUGACUUGUGGGUAGCGGUGAAAUUCCAAUCGAGCCCGGAGAUAGCUGGUUCUCCCCGAAAUAGCUUUAGGGCUAGCCUCAAGGUGAGAGAUACGGAGGUAGAGCACUGAAUGUCCUAGGGGGUAUUGCACCUACCGAAGACUAUCAAACUCCGAAUGCCGUCAUCUUAUACUUGGGAGUCAGACUGUGGGUGAUAAGAUUCAUAGUCGAAAGGGCAACAGCCCAGAUCGUCAGCUAAGGUCCCUAAAUGUAAGUUAAGUGGUAAAGGAUGUGGGAUUGCACAGACAACCAGGAUGUUGGCUUAGAAGCAGCCACUCAUUCAAAGAGUGCGUAAUAGCUCACUGGUCGAGUGAUCCUGCGCCGAAGAUU